AGUCGGUGGAGAGUUCACUGACGCAGCUAACGCAUUAAAUGAUCCGCCUGAGUAGUAUGCUCGCAAGAGUGAAACUUAAAGGAAUUGACGGGGACCCGCACAAGCGGUGGAGCAUGUGGUUAAUUUGAAGAUACGCGGAGAACCUUACCCACUCUUGACAUCCUUCGCAAUGCUAUAGAGAUAUAGCGGAGG
rnacentral:rRNA from 1 species